rnacentral:siRNA from 1 species
UCAUUGUGAAGACAACUUUCCUA